GAUGAAGAACGUAGCGAAAUGCGAUAAGUAAUGUGAAUUGCAGAAUUCAGUGAAUCAUCGAAUCUUUGAACGCACAUUGCACUCAUUAGUAUUCUAGUGAGUAUGCCUGUUCGAGCGUCAUUUCAACCCUUAAGCCUAGCUUAGUGUUGGGACUCUACCCUAACCGGUAGUUCCCCAAAAUCAGUUGGCGGAGUUCAGUCGGCUCUGAGUGUAGUAAUUUUCUCUCGCUUUAGAAGUCUUCUGGAUUACGGCCAGAAAGAGACGAGUCUCGCAUCUCGGUGCGUUUCUCAACUUUUUUUUACAAUUGUUGACCUCGGAUCAGGUAGGAAUACCCGCUGAACUUAAGCAUAUCAAUAAGCGGAGGA
rnacentral:misc_RNA from 1 species